AUUGAACGCUGGCGGCAGGCCUAACACAUGCAAGUCGAGCGGAUGAAGGGAGCUUGCUCCUGGAUUCAGCGGCGGACGGGUGAGUAAUGCCUAUGAAUCUGCCUGGUAGUGGGGGAUAACGUCCGGAAACGGGCGCUAAUACCGCAUACGUCCUGAGGGAGAAAGUGGGGGAUCUUCGGACCUCACGCUAUCGGAUGAGCCUAGGUCGGAUUAGCUAGUUGGUGGGGUAAAGGCCUACCAAGGCGACGAUCCGUAACUGGUCUGAGAGGAUGAUCAGUCACACUGGAACUGAGACACGGUCCAGACUCCUACGGGAGGCAGCAGUGGGGAAUAUUGGACAAUGGGCGAAAGCCUGAUCCAGCCAUGCCGCGUGUGUGAAGAAGGUCUUAGGAUUGUAAAGCACUUUAAGUUGGGAGGAAGGGCAGUAAGUUAAUACCUUGCUGUUUUGACGUUACCAACAGAAUAAGCACCGGCUAACUUCGUG
rnacentral:rRNA from 1 species